CUCUAACAAGCUAGCCCAAAACCUUAACUUAAAAAUCAAAUAUUUCUAGUAAUUAAUAAACCAAACACAUUAAAUAAAUCAUUUUUCCCCCUGAGUAUGGGAGACAGAAAAGGAUAAAGGAGCUAUAGACAAAGUACCGCAAGGGAAAGCUGAAAGAGAAAUGAAACAAACCAGUAAAGAAAAACAAAGCAGAGAUUAACCCUUGUACCUUUUGCAUCAUGAAUUAGCCAGUUUAAUCAAGCAAAGAGCACUGUAGUUUGAAACCCCGAAACUUAGUGAGCUACUUCAAGACAGCCUACGAAAUAGGGCAAACCCGUCUCUGUGGCAAAAGAGUGGGAAGAUCUUCAAGUAGAGGUGACAGACCUAUCGAACUAAGUUAUAGCUGGUUGCUCGUGAAAUGAAUAGAAGUUCAGCCUUUUGCUUUCUAAAUUUCGAUUUAGCAUCACUUAGCCUAAAUGAUUAGAAAACAAAAGAGUUAGUCAAAGAGGGUACAGCCUGUUUGAUAAAAGAUACAACUUUACUAGGAGGAUAAGAAUCAUAAUUUUAAAGGUUUAAUGCCCAGGUGGGCCUAAAAGCAGCCACCCUGAUCAAUAGCGUUAAAGCUUAAGCAUAAAACACACCUACAAUUCUGAUAAAUCAGUUUUAAUCCCCUAAAGUUAACGAGCUAUUUCAUACCUUAUGAAAGAAAUUAUGCUAGUAUGAGUAAUAAGAAGUUACGAACUUCUCCCUGCACACGUGUAAAUCGGAACGGACAAACCACCGAAUCUUAACGGCCCCAGUCAAAGAGGGGAUGUCGGAUAAAAAAAAGAACAAGAAAUUCCCGAUAAAACCACCGUUGACCCCACACCGGAGUGCUCCCUGGGAAAGACAAAAAGGGACAGAAGGAACUCGGCAAAUAUGCUCAAGCCUCGCCUGUUUACCAAAAACAUCGCCUCUUGUAAAAGUUAAAUAAGAGGUACCGCCUGCCCUGUGACUAGUAGUUUAACGGCCGCGGUAUUUUGACCGUGCAAAGGUAGCGCAAUCACUUGCCUUUUAAAUGAAGGCCUGUAUGAAUGGCACGACGAGGGCUUAACUGUCUCCUCUCCCUAGUCAAUGAAAUUGAUCCCCCCGUGCAGAAGCGGGGAUAAUAACAUAAGACGAGAAGACCCUGUGGAGCUUUAGACUAUGAGCAGACCAUGUCAAGAAUAACAAACAAGUAAAUUAAACAAAUUGGCCCCUGCUUCCCUGUCUUUGGUUGGGGCGACCGCGGGAUAAUAAAAAACUCCCACGAGGAUUGAGAACCCUUAUCUUAUAACCAAGAGCUUCUCCUCUAAGUAACAGAACAUCUGACCUUAAUGAUCCGGCCUGGCCGAUCAACGGACCGAGUUACCCCAGGGAUAACAGCGCAAUCCUCUUUUAGAGUCCAUAUCGACAAGAGGGUUUACGACCUCGAUGUUGGAUCAGGACAUCCUAAUGGUGCAGCCGCUAUUAAGGGUUUGUUUGUUCAACAAUUAAAGUCCUACGUGAUCUGAGUUCAGACCGGAGUAAUCCAGGUCAGUUUCUAUCUAUGACGUACUCUCUUCUAGUACGAAAGGACCGAAGAAAGAAGGCCCAUGAAAAAUUAUGCCUUAGUCUCACCUUAUGAAGAAAACUAAAUAAGACAAGAGGUUACACCCUUUAGUCAUAGAAAAUGACAU
rnacentral:rRNA from 1 species